CAGCGAAGUUUCAUCAGUUUUAGUAAAGGCUUUUUCAGUGCUAAGCCAAUAAGUUCUUCGUCAGAGAAGUCAAACUAGCCAAGAACAAGGGGUAAGAGUCCUUUCCAGCAGAGUACAAACAGUCAAUAUGGCGGACAAAAAACUGAUUUGUGUUUUGUUUCUGAUGGUGCUUGCUGUUGCAAUGAUGGACGCCGGAAAUCCUCCGUUUAAUGGGAGUCAAAGACGGGUUGGAAAAAGAAACUCUAAGAGGAUCGUCGAGAAGAGAGAGUUAUGCGCACGCGCCAGGGUUGUCUGUGACGUGCCAAACGAUGUUAGUAAUCGAGAGAUACCGGCCGACUUUGGCACUGAAGAAAUCUGAAAGAAAGUGGGAAAAGAAACGGGACACAACACAACUCAGACAUAAAUAUUUAUAAUAGAGCAUAUUUUGAAAUUCUUAGACUUUUGUCUUUGAUCAAUGCAUUCUAUGAGUAAUUCCUGGGUCUUUAACGGCCAGGUAUGACUGUGAUCUUACAAAAAAAAUGCAUUUUUGACUCAAAGUAUUGUUCAAAAUAAAAAAUUAAUUCUUAAAAAUGAAAGAAACUCUGCAGAGAAUGUAUUUAAUGUACGCCUAAUGUAUUUCUUCAGAAUUGAACGAAAUUUUGCUUUAAAGUUCGCGUGGCAUACCUCUGUGAUUGCAUUCCCCUUGUAUAGGAUCAGCCAUUACGGAGACUAGAGUACAAAAGACGUUACAAAUGCUAGACCCCAGUUGAAAUAUGAACAAGAUGGUUUCGCCAUUGCAACAACUGUCCGUGAACGUUCGAUGUGGCAUCUCGGUUAGGCCACUGAGGGCUUCAUGAAAAAGACAGUCGUAAGAAGAAAAAAGUUUCCCGACUGCAGUUCGAACAUUUUUAUCCUCGAAAGUUUCAUUUAAUAAGAGUAAAUUUUAAUUUUUUCUUUAUUUGAUUUAUUUUAGCAACACUAACCUAUUGCAGCGCGAGAUUUUGUUCCCAGUGGACUGUAUUUUCGUUUGGAAUUGAUAUAAAAGCUGGCAUUGUUUGCACGCGACAAAGUUUGGUCUGAGUGUUCUUUUCACUCAAGUAUCCAAAUCUUAGUCAUUGCUAUUCGUUGUUUCCUCCGAGAUUAACGGGAGGAAGUUUUUACAGCCCAGCGUUUCCUUUAAAAAACUGAAGAAAAAUACUGUAGUUUUUAAGGCUUCUUUGGUGGGCCCGCGGCUCACGAAUAACCAUUUGACUGGUUAUCGCAAAAAAGAAAAUCUUCUACUCAAGAAACCGUUUCUGAGUAGUUAAUUGUUUAAAGAAAUAACCGAGAGAGAAUGGAGGGCGAAAACUGACAUUUAGAAAAGCGACUAGGUUGUUAAGAAUCUUUUGACAUAGAUUG